UGGGGAAUAUUGGACAAUGGGCGCAAGCCUGAUCCAGCCAUGCCGCGUGAGUGAUGAAGGCCUUAGGGUUGUAAAGCUCUUUUGUCCGGGAAGAUAAUGACUGUACCGGAAGAAUAAGCUCCGGCUAACUUCGUGCCAGCAGCCGCGGUAAUACGAAGGGGGCUAGCGUUGCUCGGAAUCACUGGGCGUAAAGGGCGCGUAGGCGGACUCUUAAGUCGGGGGUGAAAGCCCAGGGCUCAACCCUGGAAUUGCCUUCGAUACUGAGAGUCUUGAGUUCGGAAGAGGUUGGUGGAACUGCGAGUGUAGAGGUGAAAUUCGUAGAUAUUCGCAAGAACACCAGUGGCGAAGGCGGCCAACUGGUCCGAUACUGACGCUGAGGCGCGAAAGCGUGGGGAGCAAACAGG
rnacentral:rRNA from 1 species